UAAUUGUUAACACAUGCAGGAUGGCCUG
rnacentral:sRNA from 1 species